ensembl:lncRNA
GAAAAAGACAGUUCUCAAUAAAUGGAUUGAUGAAAAUUAUAACACCUAAAGACAAAAAGGAUUGGUGAGCAUGUGAAGAAUUUGACUACAGCAGUGAGGCUGUGACCUCACAAUCCCAGGAGUUCAUACCUGGCUCUGUCCCACCCGGCCAGCACAGAGGAAAGGUACCAGAUCAUAGUCCAGGCCUGGCAAAGAGCAGGCACUCAGAGAGUACUCCUGGAACUGGAUGAAGCAGAGAAAGGCUUCCCCAAGGUGCCCUCAGAUCUAGUUCAAAUGAUCAUACCAAACCACCUCAACAAUCCACAGCUUAGUUUGCUGCACAGUUUACUGUCAUGUAGAAGAAUCUCUGUACCACGAGUGACACGCAGCACUAUACUGUAUUGCUACCCUGUGAGGCAAUUCUAGAAUAACUGACAAAAUUAACCUCAAGGAAAAUAAAGGAUUUAUCUAGGAUGAUUUACAGACUUCAAAAUUAAACGAAAGAGAAUGCAUGGCAACCACCAACAGCCCACCACACACACUCAGCCCCUCUCCUGGAAAGGCUGGGAGGUGUGCGGAUGCUAUGACUGGCACUGUUUAGAGACAAACUGCCCUUGAAUAUAGAUAUACG